CAGUUGGUUCUUAUUCUAACACAGGGGUUCAAAGAAAACUGAAAAUGGAUUAUCAGGCUGCCAGUAAAAAAGAGAAGUCACUGAAGAGCUCUACCAAACAGCCGAGGCAGCAACCACCAGCAAGAAACAGCUCAGCGGCUUUUGUUUAUUCAGGAAAAACUUCAAGGGGAGUCGCAGACACAACUGAAACGAUGGGGAAAAUGGCCAUCAGC